GCUUACGGCCAUACCACCCUGAACCCGCCCGAUCUUGUCUGAUCUCGGAAGCUACGUAGGAUCGGGCCUGGUUAGUACUUGUAUGGGAGCCUGUAAGCUUUGUUAGGUGGCUGUAGCUC
rnacentral:rRNA from 1 species